rnacentral:tRNA from 1 species
UCUAUUAUGGCAGAUUAGUGCAAUGGAUUUAAGCUCCAAAAAUAAAGAAAAUUUUCUUUUUUUAGAA